AGCUUUGGAAGGAUAAUCCAAAGAGCACUGAGUUUGGAUACACCAAAAGGCAGUUCUGGGCUUGCAAUCGGAGUUUGUUUUGCUACUCUCUGCUUAACGUGCACCAAGUUGGUUUGCUUGCACACACCAUACUGCAAUUCUGCUCCAGAGGCUGUCAGAUGAGACCUACCGAUUUGUUAGUUGACUUAACUGAGAUAGAUGACUUGUUCAGGGAACUUAUUAUUAGAUUAUCUCAGAGAAAAAAAAAGAAGAUUAAACUAGAGUUAUGAUUACAUUGUAUACUAUUUUUCUUUUACCUUAUUUUUGGCUUUGUCAAUUCUCUAAAAGAUAUAAAAGGGAAAAAGUUGUGUAGUUAAAAAAAAAAUAGUAUACAAUGUAA
rnacentral:misc_RNA from 1 species